AAUUAAAACGAGCAAGAGUUUGCAAAGAAAGUUGAACUAACGCAGAACCACUCAGUUCUGGUACUUGAGGGGUAACUGUAGCAAGAUGCCCUCGACUCAAAGCAGCUGAUUGUCUUGACAUUGCAUGAUGAGAUCUUGAAAGGAUCGCUGAUAUACAUUCAAGCAGCCGAUUCUGAAUGGUCGGCAACAAAGGUGGAAUGCUUUCGGUUAGUAAAUCCAACGAAUCCACCAGUGUUACGGAAAGCCCAGCAGAAAACAUAGGAUCCAAGA
rnacentral:misc_RNA from 1 species